AUUGAACGCUGGCGGCAGGCCUAACACAUGCAAGUCGAACGGUAACAGGAAACAGCUUGCUGUUUCGCUGACGAGUGGCGGACGGGUGAGUCAUGUCUGGGAAACUGCCUGAUGGAGGGGGAUAACUACUGGAAACGGUAGCUAAUACCGCAUAACGUCGCAAGACCAAAGAGCGGGACCCUCGGGCCUCUUUCCAUCGGCUGCGCCCAGAUGGGAUUAGCUUGUUGGUGGGGUAACGGCUCACCAAGGCGACGAUCCCUAGCUGGUCUGAGAGGAUGACCAGCCACACUGGAACUGAGACACGGUCCAGACUCCUACGGGAGGCAGCAGUGGGGAAUAUUGCACAAUGGGCGCAAGCCUGAUGCAGCCAUGCCGCGUGUAUGAAGAAGGCCUUCGGGUUGUAAAGUACUUUCAGCGGGGAGGAAGGGAGUAAAGUUAAUACCUUUGCUCAUUGACGUUACCCGCAGAAGAAGCACCGGCUAACUCCGUG
rnacentral:rRNA from 1 species